rnacentral:lncRNA from 1 species
CUUCAAUAUAUCUCUCUCUCCCUGCUUCUGGCUUGCCUGUUUGGUAAUUACAUGAUGGAGCAAGAAGGGUCCUGAUGGGGGUGAAUCGGAUAGAUAUAGGUCUGAGGCAUGCCUCCACCAAACACGGGCCAAACAACCGGCUGCACUGCUGGCUCUUCUUUCUUCUCUUCUUUCUUUUCUCCCACAGCUUCUACACUUGCUAACUCUGCGUAGCCUACUUUCUUUCUCAGCAAAUUUGUAAGUUGUACUGCAUCAACUCCAUCGCCUACCACCUCUAUCUGGCUCUUAUCUUCCCCUCCUAAACGAGCAGAUUCAACACCUACAGAAUCGCAAAAGGAUAUAUAAACCAGUCAACAAAUUGAUCAUCUGAAUUUUCCCACAAAUGCAUGGUACUUUCUAUUAGGUAUUCCGAUUCUAAAACUUGUGUGCAUGGAAGGUUUUGUUCACCUGAAAGCCCAACUGCAAUCCGCAAGGCUUUGGUGCGUGACUUCGGUCCAUUCCCCGUCACCUUGAUCACUAUCUUUUGCUGCAAUGAUUUAGCAUAAUUAAUCAUUAACAAGAAAGUAAUAUACAUAAUAUUUUUACGAACAAGCUAGCAAUAUACUUGUGUUCUGAUCGCAAAUUCAUACCUUCAUGGUCUUGGUUGUUGGAAAGAUGGUGAUAUGUAGGGAAUGAGGAGCUGUUUACAGUCCAGGAGACACCAAAAGUGAUGGUUUUGGUCUUUUGGGGAGGUUUUGAAGAAACAGAGGAGGGAGUAAAUUAAUGCUCUAGUUGUUUGAAGAUGGAAAUCUGGGAGGCAGUUCUUGCUAUUUAUAUAGGAGUGCAUGGGCUAGAGAGUAUGCUUGAGGAGAUUUCUGUGCAAGUUCUCAAGGAAUCUCUGAUUCCGAUUCGCUCUUCUUUCAGUUGACAAGUAAACACACGGCAUUUCCUUUGGGGUCCUGCUUAUCAUUGACCUAGCUAGAAGACCUAAUUAAUUUUAAUCACCAAAUAAAAAAAAAAAGAAGAAAGAAACAAGACAAGGUGGCUAGAUUUGUGUGGGAUAUUUGAAAAGACAUCUGAGAUAGUAAUUUUUUCAUGUGUUUUUAUUUAAAAAUAAAUUAAAAUUAAAAUAUAUUUUUAUUUUUAACACCCACAACCACAAAAAUAAACAAUCCCUUCUAGUCUCCUUACAAGGCUUGUGUUUGCAAUCAGAGAGUAAAAACACGUUGAUGGUUUUUAUUUUCUAAUCUGUAAAACACACGAAUCCUGCUUAUAAUUGGUCUCGGCAGGAAAUAUUUUCAAAAUCAAGUUGUGGCAUGUCCUAGUCCGCGUUGCUUUCGAUCCAAUUCUUUUAGCUGAUUAAAAGAUAAAAGGAAAAUAUGGGAUCCACAGUUCAUCUUGCAUGCAAUACCGAGGAAAGAGUCUUUGCAGACCAAAUCGAUUUUUAGUCUUUAAGAACACUUUAAUUACUCCUAAAAGGGACCAGGGAAAAUGUGAACGCCGAAAAAUCAACAGUAGAGUUCGAAAAUGAAGUGCAGCAACAGGAGAGCAGAGUUACAUUGAGAUUAGGUGGCUAUCAGCCUAUCAUUAUCAACCUUUCUCUUUCCUGUUGUGUGUGUGUGUGUGUGUAUGAAAAAGAAUGACGAGUGAUAAAAAGCUGUGUGUACGAGUGACUUUUUCUGAAAAGAAACAGGAGCGCGUAAGGGACAAAUCAGCUAACUUAAUAUAUCGAACCCCUCCUCUGGUACAGAGUACAGACGACUUGUUUAUUAUACCAUCGUUAUGCCAUACAUUACGGGUCAAAUGAAUUCUUUUUUUAACAUAUAAAAAAAAUAUCAAGGUAUUGUUGAUGUUUUUCUAGAGUAAAAAAUUUAAAACUGUGUGGGAUGGUUCAUUUAAUAUGAUAUAAUUAACUUGAUGAGUGUAAAAAUAACUUGAAUAAUUAGUAAAAUUAUUGUUUAAUUUACUAACAUUGAAGGCAAUUUUUUUUAAAAAAAGUAAUAUUGAAACAAUAAUAUAUUUAAUUGAUUUGGGUCAACUCAGGUUAAUUUGUCAAAUCCGCAACCUGGAUUAAGAGACCAUAAUAACCCUGUAUAAAACAAAUCAAAACAAAUUAUGAAGUUAAAAAAAAUGAUUUGAGUUAACCUGUCAAAUCUGUGACCCGGGUCAUGAAAUUACACUACAAGAUUUAACAGUUUUACCAACGGAAAAAUUUCAUCGGUAUAAGACACAUAUUCCAUCGGUAAUUAUAUUACCGACGGAAUCACAGACAAAAAUGAUCCGUCGGUGAAUCGUUCGUCGGUAAUGUUUUGUCCGUCGGUAAAUCCGUUGGUAAUAUAAUCACCGACGGAUUUACUGACGGAACAGAUGCGUCGGUAAUAAUUUUUUAUUAUCAAUGAAAUUACCGAGGGAUAUACCGACGGAAAUUUCGUCGGUAAUUAUAUAAAAACAUUUUAAAAAAAUCAUUUUAUAAAAUUAUAAAAUAAUUAAAUUAACAUAAAUCAACACAAUAUAUUAUAUACUCAAAAUGCUUGGAAAAAAAAAUAAGAAAAUCAACUCAAACAAAUUUGCAACAAAUAAAUAAAAUGAAAAAAAUAAAUUCAACUAAGAAAAUUCAUAUGAAAAAAAUGAAGUUGCAAUUGCUAAAAAUUUAAAAAUCCCUAUAAAUAAAUCAACUAAAAAUUGGUCUCAUAUGAAAAAAAAAUCUCACAACAAAAUUUAUACAAUUAUUAAGAACAAAAACAAUUAAAAAUAGAAUAAAAAACAAAUAUAGUGAAAAAAAUCAUGAAAAAAGAAGAAAAAAGAAAAAUAUUACCUUAAUGUAAUUGCAAGUGAAGCUAAGGAGAGAAAUUUUUUUUUCGUAAAGCAUAUUAAUUAAAAAAAAACUAAGAGGAUAAAAGAAGAAAGAAGAAGAAGAAGACAUACCCGAGUAUGAACGAAAAGAGAAGAAGAUUAGGAGAGAAAAGAAGAGAAAGAAAUAGAUAUUGAUGUUUUUUACAUAUAGUGAAGAAGAAGAAGAAGAAGAAGAAGAAGUAGAAGAAAAAUUAUAAGAAAUGAGUCUGUUUCUUGUGAAAUAAGGGGAUCCAGACUUUUAAUUGGGGCGCGUUAGCGACGGAUUUACCAACGGAUUAUUGAAUAUUAAUAUUUUUUAAUUAUUCCGUCGGUAAUUCCAUCGGUAAUAUUUAAUUUAAAUUUUCAAUUUUGUAAAAAGUUUUCAAAAACUGCCAACAAUUACCGACGAUUUUUCAAUCCAUCGGUGAUUCCGUUUGUAAUAUUUAAAUGAAAAUUUUAAAUUAAUUGAAUUUUUUCAGAAAACCGCCAAAUAACACUGACGACUUUUCAAUCCGUCGGUGAUUUUGUCCGUAAAGAACAACAAUUAACAGUGCAAUUGGAAAGUGAACAGUUCUGGAGCUCUCUAGAAAAUACCGACAGAAAUUUCCGUCGGUGAUUCCCUUUGUAAUUGACACGAUGAACAAUGUUCACAGUUUACCAAUGGAUUUACCGACGGAUUUACCAACAGAAUUACCGACGGAAUAAUUUCCGUCGGUAAUUUCGUUGGUAAAAAUGACACGUCAUCAUUUUUUUUUGCUUUGUUUUAAUUUUUUUCCCACGGUAAUUCCCUCGGUAUAUACCGAGGGAAUAUUUCCGUCGGUAAAAUCCCUCGGAAAGUUACCGACGAAAAUAUUCCCUCGAUAUUUCCGUUUGUAUUUAUCGAUUUUCUGAUAGUGUUAUGAUAACCUCAAGGAAAGUAAACAAAAAAAGUCAACACGGGUUAACCUGCUAAACUCACGACCAAGGUUAUAAGACCGUGAAAACCUCAUUGAAAACAAAUCAAAAAAAAAUUAUAAAGCCCAGUUUUCAAUAAACUCAUUGUUAAAGGUUAAAAUAAAUAAAUCUAGAAACAUAAUACAAUAAAACAACCAGAUUCAUAAAAUCAAAAUAACCUUAUAAAAGACAAAUCAAAAUAAAUCAUGGAGCCUACUUCAUAAUCAACUUCAUGUUGAAUGAUUAAAUUAAAAAAAAAAAUACAAAUUAAAAAAAGUAAAAAAAAACUCGAGUCAACCGGGUCAACCUGUCAAACCCGCAACAUGAGUCAUGAUACCGAAAUAACUUCAUAGAAAGCAAACUAAAAUAAAUUAUAAAGUCUGAUUCCUAAUCAAUUCAAUGUUUAAGGUUUUAAGUAAAACAAAUGUUAAUUAAAAAAAGAUAAAAAAAACUCAAGCCAAUCGAGUUAACCCGGCAAACUCAUGAUACAGGUUAUAAGAUUGACCUAACCAUUUAUAAAGCAAACCAUAAUAGAUUAUGAAAUUCAAUUUCCAAAAAACUAAAUAUUGAAGUAUAAAAUUACAGAAAUAAAUAUAGAUUUCGAAAAGAAAAAAAAACAAAGUAAAAAAAACACUAUUGAAAUGAAAUAAUAUUUUAUGAGGUGGUGCAUAGUAAGAACAACUUCUUUUUUAGUUUAUACUACUAACUAUUUAACCCAUGCUCCUCCGUGAUUUGAAUUUUUAUAUAUAAAAUAAUGAAUCUAGAAGCUUUUCCAAUGUGUUUUUUUAUUAAAAAAAAAAUCAAAAAUGGAAAUAAAAAAUAAUAUGUAUACAUCUAAUAAAAUAAAUUAAGAACUAUGUGUGUCAAUAAAUAAAUAAAAAGUCUUUAACAAUAAAUAAAGAUGAAAAUUAAAAAAAUUAAGAGUCAGCCAUAGACCAAGAUAUUCAACUUCGCAACUUGAAUCUUUGACACGGUUGGGUUUAACAACUUUAUUAACAAAAAACAUUUUUUUAUUUAACUAAAUGAUAAUAAAAAUGGAGACACAUGCAAUUGAUUAAAUAAAAUAAAAGGCAAAAAACAAAUGUUAUGCAAGGUUACAAAUCUUAAAAAUAUUCUCUGAAAAUAAAUAUUUUUAAUCUUUUUCAAAUAAAUUUCAUUUAUACAAAACAUAAGAAAAUAAAUGAAUUAGAACAAUCUCUCGGAAAAUUAAAUGCAUACAAAAUAAUUAAACAAUAAUCGUUAUUUAAAAGGUGCUAGAUAAAAAAAUUAAACGAGAGGAGUAUUAAUUUAAAUAUAACUUUUAAAAUUAUUUUUAAAAAAUACAUAAAAAAAGACAUUAAUUUAAAAAACAUUUUUAAAAAACAAAAAAAGCCAAGCACUGCAGGGUCUGACAAGCCAGGGCAACGCGCUUGGCCCAUCCAAUAAGGGCCUGCGCCUGUAGGAAGAGGCCCGUUUUCUUGGCCUUUAUUUUUUUAUUGUUGAUGAUGUGGACAACAUGUCAUCCCCUAAUUUUUUUUUUAAAAAGGAAAAUAAGCCAGACGUGAUAUUACCUAGUUUUCGGCCACCACUAUGACCAUAAAAUCAAGAGUUAAGUUUCUUCGACCUAAAAAUUGAUUUUCAACUCAUUGUAUACCCAUGACACCUAGAAAACAUCUUAGGCAUCUUGAUAAACCCAUUCAUGCCCUAAAAAAAUGAAAAAAAAUCAUCCCGAAACUCGAAAUCAACCCAAAACCAAAAAUCUUACUAAGCUCAUAUAUGUUUUUAGGCAAUUUCAAGGUAAAAAAACACCUAAUGUAAACUCCUUUCAUCAAAUGAAACAAUUUAACACCAAUAUUGAAUGUUUUUAUGGCCAAAUCCGGUGCAAUGGAAACUUUCUCUCUCUAGUGUUGAAUUUUAGCGUAUUUCUCUCAUUUAUCUCAAACCAGGAACAAAAAAAUAAGAAAAAGAAAGUUUGGAACCAAAAUUGAUUUUUCCCUUAAAUUUUAGAAACUAAAGGGACCUAAUAUUUAUAAUUUAGAGAGUAUGAGGACUAUAAUAAAUAUUUUGCCCAAACUUUAUUAAAGCUACUCAUUCCCUCCGUGUUUCUCAAUUUGAUUCCCCAUCUUUCGAUACCACCCUUCCUCAACAGAUUGGCCUGUAACUUGGUUCAAUAAAGGUCAAACUAAAAGAAAAAAGAAAAAAAAGUUGUGUGAAUAGUCUAUUUACAGUACCAAGUAAGGGGAUCCACAUUGCAUUUUGCAAGGUGUAUUCCUCGUGCAUUUUAGAUUUAUGGUUAAUAAUAAUAAUUUUCCUUCAAAAUGUGAUUGGAUAUAUUUGUGAGAAAAGAUUCCCUUCUCGUGGGUUGAGUAUCCUUGUAGUCAAACUUGGCUCAUGUUGUUCUCAUCCUCCUCCAACUAUUCUAGCUACCCAGGAGGAGGGUAUGAGGUAAUCAUUUAAAGGUGAUAGAUCCACUAGGGUACACAUAUAAUCGGGUAUAUCAGAAUAUAUAUCUCUUUAUAGUGUCUAAUGUAAGAAAGGAAGUCCAUAACUUGAACUUAAAUUACAAUUUUUUUCAUAAUAGAUACAUCAUUAAAGUAUUAAAUCAUGAAUGCCUGGUGAUGAUCUCCCAAAAAAUUAAAGUAGCAUAGGAGCAAAGCUUAUCUGUUAGACAAUCAAUUAAUUUUUUGAUUUUAGCAAUCUGAUUCAUUCUCCAUUAACCAAGAUGGCUAGUAGCUUGUACCUGGAAGAUCGAAGUGGUUGGUAGCUGAUACUUGCAAAAGGUCCUCUCUAGUAUAUGUAGGGUCUCUCAGAUGUUUAGGUAAGUAAUUUUUUAAGAAGAAAAAAAUGUAAUGAUAUUUUAGAGAGAUAGACUCUUAAAAUAUAUAUAUCAAAAAAGUUGAGAAUGAAGAGAUUAUGAAUUUAUAGCCUAUGAGUCUUAUGCUUUUAUGAAGAGGAGGAGUCGAAAAGUCACUUCAUCUUAUUAAUAUUUUAAGUUGUAGUUUACUCAUAAUAAAAUGUAUUGGAUUGGUUAGAUCCAGGUAACAUUUAAACCCAUUCUUUUGAGCCGUUAGGGGCUUUGAGCACAAUAACUUUAAGUCCAUCACCUAGCUAAAGAGACUCUUUGAAAAACUAAGGUUUACAUUAUUUUAGAUGUUAAAUUAGCCUACAUUGCCGCCAUUAUAUAUAUAUAUAUAUAUAUAUAUAUAUAUAUAUAUAUAUAUAUAUAUAUAUAUAUAUAUGUUAAAUUCUAAUAUAUUUAGAUAAUAGUUUGCAUUUUAAAAUAAGUAAUGAUACCUAACUUAUAUAAAAUAAAUUUAAGAUAUUAAAAUAAAAUAAUAACAUAUUAAAAAAUAUUGAACACCUAGUUUUGCUAAUUGUAUAGACUUGAUAACGAUAACAAUUUGUAUAAGAAAACAAUUAUGUUGAAAUCAAAAGCUUUGUUUGAAAGUAAUACUCAUAAACUAAUUUUACUUUUAAUCAAAAUACUAAUUUAUCUAACUUUUAUAUUAUUAAAUUAAAAAAAAAGUCUCAUGUAUUCUACAUGGUGAUAAUGUUUCAAAAUUCAAGAUGGUUAGAAAUAUGAUUUUUUUGGUGGUUGAAUUAUGAGUUAAUCAAGUAUCUUUGUAAUUACUUCCAUUCUCUAUAGUAAAUGAAAGUGAUAACUUGAUGUGAUGCUUAUCAUACCUGUAAAACAAUCCAUGUUAGUUGAUUUAGAGACCCCUUAAAUGCUGAAAUCAAUAUGUUUAUGAAGGAAAAGUUUAUAAAUAUUUAAGAUAAUAUUAAAUUAUAAGAGUAAAGUUUUUAUAUAUAUAUAUAGGAUUAAGAUUAUAUGAAAAUGGUUUAUGUCUAUUGAGAAUAUAAAUUUUUGUAAACUUUUUACCUAGAUAGUUAAGGGAAUAUUUAUAGCACAUGAACCUUGUUCUUUACUUAAGUGAAGAGGCUGAAGAGUCAUUUAGCCCUGAUAGUGUUAUUAAGAGAUAAAUAUCAUUUAUCUUUAAAUAUCUAUGACUUAAACAAUAAUGAAGGUCAAAAGUGGUUGGAUUUAGGCCAAAGAGUUUGGCCCAACAAGGACUAAGACAUGCAUUUAGCCCAAGAAUAUUUAGAUGUGUUCUUUAGCUAAAACACGAGGCUAGGGACCAUAUUGAAUCAGGUAUAGACCAAACCCUUAAACUUGGCCAUAGCACUAUAGCCCACGAGUUGUUAGGCACACGUCUAGCACCUGGGCUUGGGGCUCGUUGCCCGAGCCUACGAGGUGUUGGACACACACCCAACACUUGCUCGAGCCAAAAGGUGUUGGGUGUGGAUAGCUUUGGAUGUCACUCCUAAGCCUAUAAGGCACUCAGUUUGGGCCUAUAAUUAUAAUUUGGGUUUAAGUCAUGUUUUCAAAGUUCAUAAUAGACUUGGGCUAAUUAAAAAUAAUUUUCCAAGAAAUAUAUUAUUAUUAUUUUAAAUACUAAAUCAUGUUUUCAAAGCCCAUAAUGUAUUGGCUAGCCAAAAAUAUUUUUCCAAGAAAUAUAUUAUUAUUAUAUAAUAAAUUCGGUUCAUCAUGUGUCAACAUCAAAAUUAAAAACUAUAAAAAAAUAAAUUUCUAAAAUUUAUCAAAAAAUAAAAAAUUAAUGCACACACUAGUUGAAUACCCUGCUAGCUGCAUGCGGGUUAACACCCAAUAAAUAAAUAACUUAUACAUAAUAAAAUAAAUAUUAUUACAUAAUUAGUAUCAUCCUUUUCUAAGGUAGAAACCGUACCCAACUAUUAAAUAAAUUCUAACAUUUGUAAUAAAAAAAAUAACUUAAUGUAAUAAAAAAUGACAUUAUCUGCAGGAUAAUUUGCUAGGAGGCAAAACUAGAAUAAUUUCAAAUCAUAGAAAACAUUAAAAAAAAGCUCACAUUUACGUUAUUCUAGAUUUCAAAAUUAAUUCCAACGUAAUCGAAUCAGUUGCAUGAGCAUGAAGAGUACUGGUGGUCAAGAUGAUUAUCCUAACAAAACAUAAACCAACUGUUAUGCAAUUUCUUCUGUUUACGCUUUUUGGAAAUCUAAUUAGGAAGCCACUAGCUAUUUGUUUUCUUCUCAGGAAUCCACCGGAUUUUGGCGUCUCAACUCCUUAUUAGAUUCUUGAAUGACUAUUAAUAAUACUGCAGUUUCUUGUUUAUUUGUCUGAUUUCAGAAAUCCCUUCUCUUUCAGCACUACAGUGUUAAUUCACCCGAGGCAAGGAACGGCGAGCCUUUAUGCCCUGGCUUGACGUCCUGCUUUCUGAGGGCUUAAUUAUUCCUUGCUGCCAUUCGUAUGAGAUCAAGGCUUAAGAAUUUCACGUGAACAGUGUAUCAUGGUUGAAUUUAAAGAGCCGCGCAAGAAAGCAGCAUUUUUCUGCUUUCCAUCUGCUUGCGUUUCACACGCAAUUUAUGGUGGGACCAUGCACAGUAAAUCACUUUUAUUUUGUUAACCAAACGUUUGCUUCGUGCGUUUUUGACAAAACGCAAACUCUAAUGCGUAGCCAAAUGUAUUCUUUGUCUUUGAGGAAUAAACCGUGAUUUCUCAAAUUAUGAUUUUUUUUAAAAGUCUGAAAUUAUUUUUUUAUUUUUUGAAUUGUUUUGAUAUAUUAAUAUUAAAAAUAAUAUUUUAAAAAUAAAAAAUAUUAUCUUAAUAUAUUUUUUUUAAAAAAACAAUUUAUUUAAACACUCUAAAACACCCCUUAUGUACAGUAUCCACGUAGUAUUUUUUGUUAGAGUAUUAACAGCUGCUAACAAAUCAGGAGAAGAUCUCACAACUGUCAACAAAUCAGAAGAGGAUUCCAAAGAUUUUGCAUCAACUACCAGCCUGCAGAAUCGCUAGUCUAGCUAGCUUGAAAGAUUCUAGUCUAGCUAGCUUGAAAUUCAAAUAGCUUGUAAUCUCCAGUUUAUUCUCCUUCAGUUACUCAAUUAUUUGUUUGUUAUCUGUGUAAAUAAAUCUAUAUAUAUACGAGUAAAUAGAAAGAAGAGUAAUCAAGUCAUUCUUUUAAAAGGUGUAUCUGCAGAAUUCUAUUUACUCUAUUUUUUUUUGUUUAAUCUUUCAUUUUUCCAUACUGUUUAGAGUUUUUUUUUUUUUGUUAAUUGUUCACUGGACAGGAUGUGCCUUUGAUACAAAAAGAAAAGGAGAAUGCGCCGUGGUGCCCAGAAAGCAAUAAAUGGUUCAACAACUGGAUUAAAAUUCACAAUUUGAUAUUAUUGUGUUGAAUAACGACUGAAUAUCACCAUGUUUUUUGUUCACCCACUAUCAAGAUUUGUCCCUCAUGUAACAUGAAAAGUUCAUACAAGCAAAGAAGCUUGUUUACACAUUGUACGUAUAUAUGUAAUCUCAAUUUCCCUACUAUCUCCCCCCUUUCAGACGUGGAACGGCAGCGGCCCAACAUGUUCUACAAGAUAAAUAAACUGACUCGGCUUCAAUCUCUCUCUCUCUCUCUGCUUCUGGCUAGCCUGUUUGGUAAUUACAUGAUGGAGCAAGAAGGGUCCUGAUGGGGGUGAAUCGGAUGGAUAUAGGUCUGAGGCAUGCCUCCACCAUACACGGACCAAGCAACCGGCUGCACUGCUGGCUCUUCUUUCUUUUCUCCCACAGCUUCUACACUUGCUAACUCUGCGU